GGUGUCACUGGUUCCUCCCUUCUGAAGAACCGUCAUGCCAUUCAGUUGGUGUGGCGGGGAAUCAGGACUGUUACUUUGAAAAAAUUAGAGUGUUUAAAGCAGGCUCGCGCUUGAAUACAUUAGCAUGGAAUAAUGAAAUAGGACGUUUGACCCUAUUUUGUUGGUUUCUAGGAUCGACGUAAUGAUAAUA
rnacentral:rRNA from 1 species